UAAAAACUCAGAGGUAGAUAUUAUUUGGUAGGUGCUCAAAUCAACCUUUGCCUGUUGAUGCUCCCUUGAUGUUCUUAGCUGAGUGUCCUAUUAUAGGGCCCAAAGCAUUUACUUUGGAAAAAAUUAGAGUGUUUGGUGCAGGAUCAAGCCGCUGCAUACUGCAGAUAGAAUAGGACCCCUGGUUCUGCUUUGUUGGCUUUUGGAACUGAAAUCAUGAUUAAAAAGGGUGGCCCUGGGUUUAUAAUUAUGCCGUAGAGGUAAAAUUAUUGGACCUUUGCAAGAUGGACCACAGUGGAAGGGUUUGCCAAGAAUGUUUUCAUUUA
rnacentral:ncRNA from 1 species